rnacentral:rRNA from 1 species
GAUGAACGCUGGCGGCGUGCUUAACACAUGCAAGUCGAGCGGAGAACACGGAGCUUGCUCUGUGGGAUCAGUGGCGAACGGGUGAGUAACACGUGAGCAACCUGCCCCUGACUCUGGGAUAAGCGCUGGAAACGGCGUCUAAUACUGGAGAUGUGACGUUACCGCAUGGUCUGCGUUUGGAAAGAUUUGUCGGUCGGGCAUGGGCCCGCGGCGCAUCGGCUAGUUGGUUAGGUAAUGGCUUACCAAGGCAACGAUGGGUAGCCGACCUGCGAGGGUGAGCGGCCACACUGGAACUGAGACACGGUCCAGACUCCUACGGGAGGCAGCAGUAGGGAAUCUUCCGCAAUGGGCGAAAGCCUGACGGAGCAACGCCGCGUGAGUGAUGAAGGUCUUCGGAUCGUAAAACUCUGUUAUUAGGGAAGAACAUAUGUGUAAGUAACUGUGCACAUCUUGACGGUACCUAAUCAGAAAGCCACGGCUAACUACGUG